rnacentral:rRNA from 1 species
UACGUAGGGGGCUAGCGUUGUCCGGAAUCAUUGGGCGUAAAGAGCGUGUAGGCGGUCCGGUAAGUCCGCUGUGAAAGUCGGGGGCUCAACCCUCGAAUGCCGGUGGAUACUGUCGGGCUAGAGUGCGGAAGAGGCGAGUGGAAUUCCUGGUGUAGCGGUGAAAUGCGCAGAUAUCUGGAGGAACACCGGUGGCGAAGGCGGCAUCCUGGACCGACACUGACGCUGAGGAGCGAAAGCCAGGGGAGCAAACGGG